rnacentral:rRNA from 1 species
GUGGGGAAUAUUGGACAAUGGGCGAAAGCCUGAUCCAGCCAUGCCGCGUGUGUGAAGAAGGUCUUCGGAUUGUAAAGCACUUUAAGUUGGGAGGAAGGGUAGUAACCUAAUACGUUGCUACUUUGACGUUACCGACAGAAUAAGCACCGGCUAACUUCGUGCCAGCAGCCGCGGUAAUACGAAGGGUGCAAGCGUUAAUCGGAAUUACUGGGCGUAAAGCGCGCGUAGGUGGUUCAGUAAGUUGGAAGUGAAAUCCCCGGGCUCAACCUGGGAACUGCUUUAAAAACUGCUGAGCUAGAGUACGGUAGAGGGUGGUGGAAUUUCCUGUGUAGCGGUGAAAUGCGUAGAUAUAGGAAGGAACACCAGUGGCGAAGGCGACCACCUGGACUGAUACUGACACUGAGGUGCGAAAGCGUGGGGAGCAAACAGGAUUAGAUACCCUAGUAGUCC